UUUAUUUAUUCUGAUUAUGAUUAUUAUUUUGAUUUUUAUUUCUGUAUAUUUUUUGGUUUUAUAACAUUUGCAGAUACAGUAAUUUCCGGAUUGUGCUAUUAAAAAAUACACUUCAAAGCACCAAGGCUGCACAUCUUUAUUUCAACUCUUCGACUUCCUACUUGUGAUGCAACCUGUCGCAUGUGGAUUUCGAGCUCCUUUGCUUUCGGCGAUUUAACGAUUUUAUGGUUUCUUUCGGUCCUAUUCAACGGCUUUAAGCCACGUCACACAACAUUGCACCCACUCGCACUCGCACUCGCACUCGAACAGGCACAGUCACACACACAUGCAGGGUUUACGAUCCUAGCAUCACCUUCUAGGCUGAAGACCAGGCCCGAACGAACAAGGCAGGCGUCGAAUAGUGUUUUAUUGUGAUUUUUUUUCAUGUUUAUUAUUAUUUGCUGCUCCUCUCACCCAGUUUCAAUUUUAUUAGUUUAUUACGGUUAUUAUCUUUUAAUGACGCGCGCGAGCGCCGUCAGCCGAGGUUCGGGUUGUUAUUGUUGUUUUUAUAUCGCAGUCGAUUAGUUGCCCCUGUUGUUGCUCUCAUGCCCAGUUAUUUAGCAAUAACGUGUGAAGUUGUUUUAUUAUUUGUUUUGAUUAUCAAAAUGGCCAGUUUCUAUUUUCCGGUCGUUGGGCGACCUCUUCCGCCCCUUCCCAGCGCCAUUACGUUCCGGUAGCAUGCAGGUGCUGUAAAUCACAACACGUCGGCAGCGAUCUGACUGCACUCAAAGUGGCAGUCACUCACAGCAGCAGCUCAACUUGUGACUGACUUGUAUGACCAAUAAAGCAAUUAAUUUUUAACAGUUGCUGCUGUUGCUGCUGCUGCUGCUGUUGCCGCCAGGGGCUUUGGAACCCCCAGCUGAUCCGACAUGGAGGCCAUAAAAAUGUUAUUUGCCAGUUCGUUAAAAGUAUUGCUUAUGGCAAAAAGAUUGAUCAAUUGACCAGCAUUUAUCGGCAGCGCAAAGAUUUCGAAAUUAAAUAAACAAAAUAAAACGCCUAUGUUCGGCACUGCGAAGACCACACAAACAUACCCAGGUCAAUUGUGAAUAGGAAGUAAUCCGACGUAGAUCAUUAUUGAGAAUUGAAACAAAAGCAUUUACAUAUAGCACUUUUCGCGACGAAUUCUUUCCAUGGAGCUAUGUAAUAUAGU
rnacentral:sRNA from 1 species